rnacentral:rRNA from 1 species
CCAAUAGCGUAUAUUAAAGUUGUUGCAGUUAAAAAGCUCGUAGUUGAAUUUUGGAUUCUUCCAAUUGGUCCAUCUUUUAGAUGAGUACUGGUUGUGUGGGGUCUAUCCGCCUGGUGAUACGUAAUGUCCUUUAUUGGGUGUUACGGGUAGUCAGGACCUUUACCUUGAAAAAAUUAGAGUGUUUAAAGCAGGCUUAUGCCGGAAUACAUUAGCAUGGAAUAAUAGAAUAGGACGAAGUUGUUUUAUUUUGUUGGUUUCUAGGACAACCGUAAUGAUUAAUAGGGAUAGUUGGGGGCAUUAGUAUUCAAUUGUCAGAGGUGAAAUUCUUGGAUUUAUUGAAGACUAACUACUGCGAAAGCAUUUGCCAAGGAUGUUUUCAUUAAUCAAGAACGAAAGUUAGGGGAUCGAAGACGAUCAGAUACCGUCGUAGUCUUAACCAUAAACUAUGCCGACUAGGGAUCGGGCGAUGUUGUUUCCAUGACUCGCUCGGCACCUUAUG